rnacentral:rRNA from 1 species
GGGCGUUAAGUUGCAGGGUAUAGACCCGAAACCCGGUGAUCUAGCCAUGGGCAGGUUGAAGGUUGGGUAACACUAACUGGAGGACCGAACCGACUAAUGUUGAAAAAUUAGCGGAUGACCUGUGGCUGGGGGUGAAAGGCCAAUCAAACCGGGAGAUAGCUGGUUCUCCCCGAAAGCUAUUUAGGUAGCGCCUCGUGAACUCAUCUCCGGGGGUAGAGCACUGUUUCGGCUAGGGGGCCAUCCCGGCUUACCAACCCGAUGCAAACUGCGAAUACCGGAGAAUGUUAUCACGGGAGACACACGGCGGGUGCUAACGUCCGUCGUGAAGAGGGAAACAACCCAGACCGCCAGCUAAGGUCCCAAAGUCAUGGUUAAGUGGGAAACGAUGUGGGAAGGCCCAGACAGCCAGGAUGUUGGCUUAGAAGCAGCCAUCAUUUAAAGAAAGCGUAAUAGCUCACUGGUCGAGUCGGCCUGCGCGGAAGAUGUAACGGGGCUAAACCAUGCACCGAAGCUGCGGCAGCGACACUCAGGUGUUGUUGGGUAGGGGAGCGUUCUGUAAGCCUGCGAAGGUGGCCUGUGAGGGUUGCUGGAGGUAUCAGAAGUGCGAAUGCUGACAUAAGUAACGAUAAAGCGGGUGAAAAGCCCGCUCGCCGGAAGACCAAGGGUUCCUGUCCAACGUUAAUCGGGGCAGGGUGAGUCGACCCCUAAGGCGAGGCCGAAAGGCGUAGUCGAUGGGAAACGGGUUAAUAUUCCCGUACUUGGUGUUACUGCGAAGGGGGGACGGAGAAGGCUAUGUUGGCCGGGCGACGGUUGUCCCGGUUUAAGCGUGUAGGCUGGUUUUCCAGGCAAAUCCGGAAAAUCAAGGCUGAGGCGUGACGACGAGGCACUACGGUGCUGAAGCAACAAAUGCCCUGCUUCCAGGAAAAGCCUCUAAGCAUCAGGUAACAUCAAAUCGUACCCCAAACCGACACAGGUGGUCAGGUAGAGAAUACCAAGGCGCUUGAGAGAACUCGGGUGAAGGAACUAGGCAAAAUGGUGCCGUAACUUCGGGAGAAGGCACGCUGACACGUAGGUGAAGUGAUUUACUCAUGGAGCUGAAGUCAGUCGAAGAUACCAGCUGGCUGCAACUGUUUAUUAAAAACACAGCACUGUGCAAACACGAAAGUGGACGUAUACGGUGUGACGCCUGCCCGGUGCCGGAAGGUUAAUUGAUGGGGUCAGCGCAAGCGAAGCUCCUGAUCGAAGCCCCGGUAAACGGCGGCCGUAACUAUAACGGUCCUAAGGUAGCGAAAUUCCUUGUCGGGUAAGUUCCGACCUGCACGAAUGGCGUAAUGAUGGCCAGGCUGUCUCCACCCGAGACUCAGUGAAAUUGAACUCGCUGUGAAGAUGCAGUGUACCCGCGGCAAGACGGAAAGACCCCGUGAACCUUUACUAUAGCUUGACACUGAACAUUGAGCCUUGAUGUGUAGGAUAGGUGGGAGGCUUUGAAGUGUGGACGCCAGUCUGCAUGGAGCCGGCCUUGAAAUACCACCCUUUAAUGUUUGAUGUUCUAACGUGGACCCGUGAUCCGGGUUGCGGACAGUGUCUGGUGGGUAGUUUGACUGGGGCGGUCUCCUCCUAAAGAGUAACGGAGGAGCACGAAGGUUGGCUAAUCCUGGUCGGACAUCAGGAGGUUAGUGCAAUGGCAUAAGCCAGCUUGACUGCGAGCGUGACGGCGCGAGCAGGUGCGAAAGCAGGUCAUAGUGAUCCGGUGGUUCUGAAUGGAAGGGCCAUCGCUCAACGGAUAAAAGGUACUCCGGGGAUAACAGGCUGAUACCGCCCAAGAGUUCAUAUCGACGGCGGUGUUUGGCACCUCGAUGUCGGCUCAUCACAUCCUGGGGCUGAAGUAGGUCCCAAGGGUAUGGCUGUUCGCCAUUUAAAGUGGUACGCGAGCUGGGUUUAGAACGUCGUGAGACAGUUCGGUCCCUAUCUGCCGUGGGCGCUGGAGAACUGAGGGGGGCUGCUCCUAGUACGAGAGGACCGGAGUGGACGCAUCACUGGUGUUCGGGUUGUCAUGCCAAUGGCACUGCCCGGUAGCUAAAUGCGGAAGAGAUAAGUGCUGAAAGCAUCUAAGCACGAAACUUGCCCCGAGAUGAGUUCUCCCUGAGACUUUAAGUCUCCUGAAGGAACGUUGAAGACGACGACGUUGAUAGGCCGGGUGUGUAAGCGCAGCGAUGCGUUGAGCUAACCGGUACUAAUGAACCGUGAGGCUUAACCUU